rnacentral:sRNA from 1 species
UAUCAUGGGACAAUGUCUCCAGCGUCAGUCAAUUUUUGUGCCAGCUGUUGCAAUCGACCGAAGUAAAUAUACAAUUCGCGCCGGAUUCAAUCUGAAGGACCCUUUCGAGAACAACAGCUACUUGCAAUACUUGCCACCUAGAGAAGUAAAUUUUGCCUGAUUUUUUUAUGGCAGCAACUUGAAUUGUUUUCAGAUUGACGUCGUAUUUGACAAAUUUACCUCCAAAAUUAUUGAUCUCGGACUGCCUGUGGUACCAGAGUUAAAAAGGGAACUACUUAAUCUACGGGAGCUUAAUGUUUUAUUUACCUAGAUAUAAAAAGAAGUAAUUUCUAAAAAUGCAAAAAAUUUUCAGGAUGAACCGUCCAACUAUGUUAUACAAGAGGAAGAUUUCGAAGAUGAAAAAUAAGAGAAAAAUGAUUUCCUCCCACGAAUCAUUCGACUUUUAAUUUAAAUAAAG